AUUGAACGCUGGCGGCAGGCCUAACACAUGCAAGUCGAACGAGUGGCGGACGGGUGAGUAAUGUCUGGGAAACUGCCUGAUGGAGGGGGAUAACUACUGGAAACGGUAGCUAAUACCGCAUACCAUCGGAUGUGCCCUGAUGGGAUUAGCUAGUAGGUGGGGUAACGGCUCACCUAGGCGACGAUCCCUAGCUGGUCUGAGAGGAUGACCAGCCACACUGAAACUGGGACACGGGCCAGAAUCCUACGGGAGGCAGCAGUGGGGAAUAUUGCAAAAUGGGCGCAAGCCUGAUGCAGCCAUGCCGCGUGUGGGAAGAAGGCCGUCGGGUUGUAAAGCACUUUCAGCGGGGAGGCGUUACCCGAAGAAGAAGCACAGGCUAACUCCGUGCCAGCAGCCGCGGUAAUUC
rnacentral:rRNA from 1 species